ensembl:lncRNA
AUGUCACAGGUUUAUGUGGUGUAAAUGAUACAGUCAUUACCCAGAUGGUCUAAGACGGGAACAGCUUCUGGGAGGUAUACGUUAUUUAAUUCUGCACAUCCAAGGUCUAUAAAGAAAGAAACUGGUCAGUAAAGCGUCUGAAUCUUGCACUAUCCAUUUGGGAAUAGAAGCUCUGAACUGACUGACUGCACACUUGACCAGAUGUGGCCUCAUCUUUAUAGAAAACAACCAGACCACCAAUAAAAUUAUUCAAAAUAUGACUCUGAGUGGCAAUCACAGGACUGCUAUUCUCAUCAUAACAAGCUCAACUGUGCACAAACAUUUCUGCCAGGUAGAGGUUGAAGUUGGAUUCCUGUUGCCUCUGAGGACGAUCCUUGAAUCAGUCUGCAGCUGUUGCCAUCCCCCUGAGAAAGGUUCAGCACUUGUCAGAGCCAACCACAAGUACUCCUGGAGGUGGCCAGCCCCAAGUCAUACAGUACAACUCCAUUACACAGUGCAGCCUCUACCUAUUCUGCAAGUGCCCAGAGCACAAGGCCACAUGUAAUGUGGGGUAAGAAUGGAGCCUGAAGUUUGCCCUGGAGUCGGAGUACAUGUACAACAAAUCUUGCUAGAGGAGGAGGAUCUGUUUACAAGAAAGAGACAGAAAAAGAGGAUGAAAAAGAAUGGCAGAGAAAUACAUAAAGAGGCCUUCAUAGCAGUUGAAAGAAAGCCAAAAUAAUGCUUGGACUUGCUUCUUCCUUUGGAGAAAAAGUAAAACAUUUGAGAGAGGUGGCCGGAGACAGUGAGCAUUCCGGGAAGCGCUUGAGCUAGAAUAUCUGAUGGAAAGAGUCUUGGAAGUGUAAGCAAAUACCUCCUAUCUCUUCCUGAUGGAUCCGUGCAGAGCUGGGGGAAGACAGACUUUUUGCGCAUUUAUUGUAAUUUAAGUGGGAUUGCAAGGAGAUGUCUGGUGGCACUGCCAAUUUCACCUCCUAAUGCAAACAACAUGAAACUCUUCACAUACACUAUCUAUGUGCUUGGGUCAACUGGAGUUGUUUUUAGUUUGUAUGUUUCAAAAUUAAGUAAUUUGCACAUUAAGUGAGGAAAGUACUAGUAACAGAAGAACUGUGUGUUUUCCUUAGCUGUAGGGGAAUCUUACUGGAAUUCACUGUGUUUUGAAUUGCUUUUUCAAAAAUCUACCAGUUUUCAUGCUGCCUAACUAAUAUAUAAUUUCUUAUUUUAUGUUACCUGGUCUCCUUAAUUUCUGAUCAAACUAUAAACGUGGAGAACUUUUUCCUUAGAUUUUUUUAUGCUUCAGAGUUAAUUGUUUAUUUUGGUUGCUCUGAAAAUAAUGCAUUCUACUUAUGGAUACCAUGGAUACUACAGCAGAUAAAAAGAGCACAAUAACACUGUUUGAUAGAGCAACUUCGCAACUACAAUAGACUAUUUCUCAG